rnacentral:rRNA from 1 species
AAUGAACGCUGGCGGCAUGCCUAACACAUGCAAGUCGAACGAGACCUUCGGGUCUAGUGGCGCACGGGUGCGUAACGCGUGGGAAUCUGCCCUUGGGUUCGGAAUAACAGUUAGAAAUGACUGCUAAUACCGAAUGAUGUCGUAAGACCAAAGAUUUAUCGCCCAGGGAUGAGCCCGCGUAGGAUUAGCUAGUUGGUGUGGUAAAAGCGCACCAAGGCGACGAUCCUUAGCNGGGUCUGAGAGGAUGAUCAGCCACACUGGGACUGAGACACGGCCCAGACUCCUACGGGAGGCAGCAGUGGGGAAUAUUGGACAAUGGGCGAAAGCCUGAUCCAGCAAUGCCGCGUGAGUGAUGAAGGCCUUAGGGUUGUAAAGCUCUUUUACCCGGGAUGAUAAUGACAGUACCGGAGAAUAAGCUCCGGCUAACUCCGUGCCAGCAGCCGCAGUAAU